GCCACUUGGGGAUCUUGUCAAAAUGCAGAUUCUGAUUCAGCAGAUCUGGGAUGGGGGCCAAGGUUCUGCAUUUCUAACAAGUUCCCAGAUGCUGCUGC
rfam:Myotis lucifugus cont2.44617, whole genome shotgun sequence.